rnacentral:rRNA from 1 species
AACGAACGCUGGCGGCGUGGAUAAGACAUGCAAGUCGAACGAGAGAAUUGCUAGCUUGCUAAUAAUUCUCUAGUGGCGCACGGGUGAGUACCACGUGAGUAGCCUGCCCCCGAGAGCGGGAUAGCCCUGGGAAACUGGGAUUAAUACCGCAUAGUAUCGAAAGAUUAAAGCAGCAAUGCGCUUGGGGAUGGGCUCGCGGCCUAUUAGUUAGUUGGUGAGGUAACGGCUCACCAAGGCGAUGACGGGUAGCCGGUCUGAGAGGAUGUCCGGCCACACUGGAACUGAGACACGGUCCAGACACCUACGGGUGGCAGCAGUCGAGAAUCAUUCACAAUGGGGGAAACCCUGAUGGUGCGACGCCGCGUGGGGGAAUGAAGGUCUUCGGAUUGUAAACCCCUGUCAUGUGGGAGCAAAUUAAAAAGAUAGUACCACAAGAGGAAGAGACGGCUAACUCUGUGCCAGCAGCCGCGGUAAUACAGAGGUCUCAAGCGUUGUUCGGAAUCACUGGGCGUAAAGCGUGCGUAGGCUGUUUCGUAAGUCGUGUGUGAAAGGCGCGGGCUCAACCCGCGGACGGCACAUGAUACUGCGAGACUAGAGUAAUGGAGGGGGAACCGGAAUUCUCGGUGUAGCAGUGAAAUGCGUAGAUAUCGAGAGGAACACUCGUGGCGAAGGCGGGUUCCUGGACAUUAACUGACGCUGAGGCACGAAGGCCAGGGGAGCGAAAGGGAUUAGAUACCCCUGUAGUCCUGGCAGUAAACGGUGCACGCUUGGUGUGCGGGGAAUCGACCCCCUGCGUGCCGGAGCUAACGCGUUAAGCGUGC